rnacentral:rRNA from 1 species
AAUGGAGGUAACUCUGACCCAGCCAUGCCGCGUGCAGGAAGACUGCCUAUGGGUUGUAAACUGCUUUUAUACAGGAAGAACACUGCUACGUGUAGCAGCUUGACGGUACUGUAAGAAUAAGGACCGGCUAACUCCGUGCCAGCAGCCGCGGUAAUACGGAGGGUCCGAGCGUUAUCCGGAAUCAUUGGGUUUAAAGGGUCCGCAGGCGGUCAAUUAAGUCAGAGGUGAAAUCCCAUAGCUUAACUAUGGAACUGCCUUUGAUACUGGUUGACUUGAGUCAUAUGGAAGUAGAUAGAAUGUGUAGUGUAGCGGUGAAAUGCAUAGAUAUUACACAGAAUACCGAUUGCGAAGGUAGUCUACUACGUAUGUACUGACGCUCAUGGACGAAAGCGUGGGGAGCGAACAGGAUU